GCCUGGGUGGCUCAGUUGGUUGAGCAUUGGCUCUUGAUUUCGGCUCAGGUCACGGUCUCACAGUUUGUGGGAUCAAACCCCGCUUCGGGCU
rnacentral:tRNA from 1 species